GCGAGAACUCAUGCUAAAAUAGGGUAAACUUAAAUGGUGAUGCCUGACCAGUUCCUUUUAUCAUACUGAUUCUCUAGAAUAUCAGCCUCCUACAGUUCAUCUCUCAGAGAGAAAAGGUGAUACAAAAAAAUUGGACUCUUAGGCCUUUUAUCCUUUCCUGAAACAGAGCUACAGAUUUUCUCUCAUUGCUGAGUAAAUCUCACAGCAUAGAACAUUACCUUCUUUCAAAAUGUAUGAAAAGCACACUGCAUAAUACACAGCUGUCAUGCUCAUUACCUCCAACAGUUCCUGUGUUAAAAGAACUUCAGUGCUACUAAUAGGGCUAUGAGACCAUUGGGCUUUUUUUCUUUAACAACAGUCUCUAAUGAGACUAUUCACAAAGUAUCCUCCACAAGCUGAAGUUACCCUCAUCCAGUUUUUAAAAUUUUUAAGCAGGUAGGCUUCUAAGUUAACACCACGAAAGCAUCAACAGACAGCAUUUGUCUAUUUAGAAAAAAGCAAAAUUCUAAGUUCUUCUCAAGGGGGGAAAAACAAUGCAACUUCACGUCUGUGUCUGUCUGUCUGUCUAUUUUGCUGGGGAUUGAGCCCAGGGCUACAUGCACAAUAGAAAUAUGUUCUUAUCACUGAGCUACGCCCCAGGUUCCCAUCAUGCCUAUUUUGAUUCAUUUUUCAGGCACAAUUACAAGGGAAAAGACCUUAGCCACUGUAACAUUUGAGUGUGGCAGAGUGGUACAGACGGGGGCGGGGGGGUUGUUUGUGGGUGCUGGAUGCAAGUAUUCUCAUGGGAUUCUUACACGAAAGAAACUGAACAAAUCCCUUUGGCUUUUCCAUACAAAGUCAAGUGAAAGCCUGGUGAUUACCUUGCUAAUAUGAUUGGUGUUGACAGUCAAUCCAGAUAAUAUGUUGCAAAGUGGAAUUUUGGAGCUGGAUUACAUAAAUUAGCUGUCUAGGCUUAUUAAAUGCACUGGAUUAUUGUCAAAACUCUGCUCUAUUCUGUGUUACAAAGAAACAACUGCUUUCUACUACUAGGAAAAAUGGAGAGGUGCUUUCAUGAAAAAACUAGAAAAUAAACUUUUAAAGAUAACUGAAUUUCUAAAACGUUAAUGCCAAAACAAACAUGAAAGGACAUUAAGUUACAUGAAAAGAGACACUAGUAUACAUGUAUCACAUUCAGUAAUAUGAAGGCAAAUCAUAGAUUUUGUGAUGUCUAUUAAGGCCAUGUAGUACUUAAAUUACCUCAGAUCUAACUGGGGCCAGAAAUAUGGACACAUCUAUUCAACUUCAUUUAUCUUAAUGCAGUCGGAAUAACUUGACCAAAUUCCAUCCCACUGACUUUAAAGAGUCAUGCAGAAGAGUUAUGAUAAUUAUCCUGACUAAAAAUGAAAAUUCAAGCCAAUUUAUAAUUGUUUUAAUUUUAUAGUCUUUAAUUUCUUUUAAGUGUCCUAAAGCUCCAAGAGAAAGUUUUUAAAGCUAAGAAUGUUUGCUUUCUAUAAACAUAUCAAGGAUUCUUCCUUCAAUCAGGUCAGAACAAAUGUUUCCUAAUAUUGAUACAAUGAAGGGUGGGAAAGAUAAGGAGAGCCAGGUAGAAAUUAAUGAUCCCCUAACUCUUUUCUUAUUGACUAACCCUACAUAUCCCUGAGUUGCCCUCUGUCAUCAGUACAUGGGUGCUUUGAUAAGUUUCCCUGUUGGCUAGGGGUUCACUCAGUACAGUAAAUAAGGGGAGAUUCUUUUUGCUUGCUUCCUUUCCCUGCUGUAUUUUCCCUUUCCACCUAGACCCUCAUUCACUGCAGUCUGAGUCUAAUCUUGCGGUGGAGACAGGCAUGCCCUUCGAAAUGAGCUGCAGGAAAAGAAGAACUGUUGUCAUAAUACCAUAAGGAUCUGUCUCUACCAAAGCAGACCAUGUGUGGCAUCGCAGAGAAAGAACAAUGUACACUAUCUCAAAAGUAGUGGUUACAAGUACUAGUGAGAGCCCUCUGUGCCCCAAUGUCCUAAGGGGAAUAGGACAGAAAAGCAAUAUCUUUAAUGGUCUGAGGAAGAAAAUGAGCAGGAAAUGAAAGAAAGGUGACAGGGAACCAAGGAAAUGAGUUAUUUAAAAAUAUUGUGCAGAUGCACAAUACUGCCCCCAGCAACUCUGUAGAUCAUUUCCAAGAAUCUAGACUAGUCGAGACAUUUUAAAAACAUGCUAGGAAAAGCACACAAAAGGCUUCUACAUUGUCCCUGAAGAAGCUAUACAUAUAAAAAUGCAAUGAAAUAUAUUGAAUUUUAUGGGAAAAGAUGGGUAAUGUAAAGCCAAUUUUUCAAAAAUAUCAGGGGGGGGCAGCUUUCCAGCAUAUACUGCUUAAAUUACAUUUUUUAAGUAUGGUGUCAAAAUAUAUUUUCUUUGCUGAUUCCUCUGAGAAUAUCAGUUUCAGUAGGCAAUUAGCUUUCUUCCAGUGGCAUGAAGGCUUCUUCAGGAUCAAGGGGCUAAUGCAGAUACUGAUUUUGACAGGCAGAAUGGCAGCCCAUGGAGUCAGAUAACCAUCUUUUAUCAACUGUGGAAAGCAAGUCUCAUUGAAAUUGCACCCUCCCACAUUGACUCUUUUAGGGAAGAAGGUCAGGAGCACAGCCAGAUAUUCAAAAAGGCUGUUGGUUCUGCGAAGCAUAUGUAUUCCAUCAAAGAUUAAUAGGAUCUGGUCUUAUGUCAUUAAUUUCUAUUCUUUCCUCAGCCCAUUACAGCCCUUAUAUGAUGCCUUAGUUCUAAAUUAAUGAGUUUCUCUAGCAGUUACAUGAAAAGGGCAUCACACAUAAAGAUAUUUGGAUUGUACAUAAAGAUAUGUAGAUCUACAUUAACAUAAAGAUAUUUUUUCCUAUAACAGGGAUGGCUACUGAAUCCAUUUCAGCUUACCUGGAAUAAUUGUAUCUAGCCCCUUUAUUCUGUUCUUUGAGAAACUAUGAUCAGUGGGAUAACUGACUUGAGAAUUUUCAGAGUAAUGGAAGUGUCACUCCAAGAUAAUAGCGCUGGGAGGAGCAGGACCGGCAACACCACAACUGAAAUCCGUCAUCCUGCGUGCUCGCUGCGAGCCAAUUAGACAGUGGCAGUGCUAUCUCUCACCAGGCAGCGCCCCCAGCCCGUGCUGAUUGCAUUCUUAUUCAGUCACUUCAUACGUGACUGCUUUUGGAAAACAGCUUGCUGUUCCUGAAGGCACCAGCAGACAGAGGGGAAGAACACAACAACCAAGGAAGGAGACAGAUGACAAGUCACCACAACUUACUGAAGGAAUUCUAUUUUAGGAAAAGAGAGAGGAAGCAGGCCAAGAGAAAGGCAAUAGGAUAACAUGACACUCAGCACCCUUAUAUGCUCAGCAGCUUCGAGUCCUUGAGGUCUGCCUUUCUAGGAAGCUGUUUGAUGAAACACAUAAAAGUGAAAUGCUACCUCUGUGCAUUUUCUCUGUGGAGACAAUUCAUGGGCGUACACAAAUCACAGCCAAGCUUCAUCCAUAACUCAUCACCAGGCAGGACUACACUCACUACAACUUCAAUGUGCUUCAAGAUGCUGUGCUCCGGGAAAGUGUAUAAAGUCACUCUAAAACAAAAUCAAAGUGUGGAGUACAAUCCUGUGAGAAAGUGAUUAUAUGUAAUUUGAGGGUGGAGUAGAAGAUUAUAGGUAGAAAAGCUUGCUGUGAAGCAUCUUUGUCAUCACUAAAGGACAGGAAUGAGAUUUUUAACAAUGAGAUAUCAUCUCGCCCCAGUUAGAAUGUUUACUAUCAAAAAUACUAAAAUGACAAAUGCUAGCGAGGAUGUGGAGAAAUGUUGGGAAUGUAAAGUAAUGCAGCCAUAUGGAAAACAGUUAUGGAGCUACUCUAAAAAAUGGAAAUAGAGCUACCAUGUGAUCCAAAAAAUCCCAUUCCUGGGUAAGGAGGAAAGAAAGGAAAGGAAAGGAAAGCUUUAUGUCAAAGAGGACUCUAUACUCUCAUGUUUAUUGCAGCACUUUGCACAACAGCCAAGAUAUGGAAUCAACUUGGGUGUUCACUGAUGAAUGAAUAAAGAAAAUGUAGUAUACAUACACAAUGUAGUAUUACUCAGCCGUAAAAAUGAAAUGCUGCCAUUUGUAGCAACUAGAUGGAACUGCAGGCCAUUAUGUUAAGUGAAAUAAGUCUGGCACUGAAAGAUAAAUACAGCAUGCUCUCGCUUAUAUGUAGAAGGUAAAGAGUUGAUCUCACAGCAGAAGUAGAGAGUAGAAUGGUGGUUGGGAACUUGGGAAAGGUGUGUGUGUGUGUGUGGGGAGGAUAGAGAGAGCAUGGUUAACAGAUACAGGUGUGCAGGAAUAUACUGAAUAGGAGGAACUAUUUCUAAUGUUCUAUAGCAUAGUAGGUUGGUUUUAAUCAGCAACAAUUGACUGAAUACUUCAAAAUACCUAGCACAGAGGAUUUUGAAUGUUCCCAAGACAAAAAAAUUAUGUCUGAGGCCAGACAAUUAAUUACUUUAUCAUUAGACAUUAUAUACUUGUAUUGAUACAUCAUAAAUAGAUAUACAAUUACUAUAUGUCAA